rnacentral:snoRNA from 1 species
AUCCUUUUGUAGUUCAUGAGCAUAGAUGAUCAGGUGGUCAUGCACGUGUGUGAGAUGUGCCACCCUCCAACGGGCACAUUACCCUCUGACC